rnacentral:misc_RNA from 1 species
AUCUUAUUACGUGGAUUAUCCUUUGCACAAAAAGUUUAGAUGAUUUCUACUUGUUAAUUCAUAGAACCCCAUAAUGAAUUGGUAUAUGAAUGAGACCUUGAAGGCGAGAUCUAUCUGAGAAAACAUAGGCAAACGAGUCUCCAAUGAUAAAGGUACAUGAACAUUCAUUUGAAUACGUACAUGAAUAUCAAUUUGAUUAUUGAAUGCUUAAUGUAGGGG